rnacentral:rRNA from 1 species
UGAGAGAGACAUGCGCGCAUAUCAAUAAGCGGAGGAAAAGAAACUAACAAGGAUUCCCUUAGUAACGGCGAGUGAAGCGGGAAGAGCUCAAAUUUGAAAUCUUCAAGGUUUUACCUUGACGAAUUGUAGUUUAAAGAAGUGUUUUCUGCUGAAGUUUUGGUAAAAGUUCUUUGGAAUAGGACAUCAUAGAGGGUGAGAAUCCCGUAUUUGACCAUUAUUUUCAGCUUUGUGAUACACUUUCAAAGAGUCGGAUUGUUUGGGAAUGCAGUCCAAAAUGGGUGGUAAAUUUCAUCUAAAGCUAAAUAUUGGCGAGAGACCGAUAGCGAACAAGUACCGUGAGGGAAAGAUGAAAAGAACUUUGAAAAGAGAGUUAAACAGUACGUGAAAUUGUCAAAAGGGAAGCGUUUGACACCAGUGUUGUUUUCUCGAAAAUCAAUUAAAAAUGGCUCGAUUUUGUAUUGCUGUGACCUUAAAAGCUCACUGUACAUUUUUCGUGUCUUUUUUAAUGCACUUUUCGUUUAACAAGUCAACAUCAGUUUCUUUUGUUGUAAAAGGGUCAUUGGAAGGUGGCUUUCUUUUCGGAGAAAGUGUUUAUAGCCUUUGGCCUCUGCAAUCGAAGAGACUGAGGUCUGCAGCGUAGACUCUUCGGGGUUAGAUACAUUUGUGCUAAGUUAUAGCUUUUUAUAGACAACUUGUUGACUAUAAUUAGUCUUGUAGCUUACUCGCUUAUGCUAUUUUACCUACGCUUAGGAUGUUGAAGAUGUAGCACAUCAU